rnacentral:rRNA from 1 species
UUUGAAAAUCUUGUUAUUAAAAGCAAAGCACAAAGAGUGUUUUAUAAAAUAAUUUUAUGAACUUAAUGUUUAAAGUAGAAUGAAUUAAAAAGAUGUAAGAACAUGCGGCGAUAGAAGAAAGUACUGUAAAGGAAAGAUGAAAUAACUUGAAAAUUUAAGUAAAAAAAAGUAGCAAUAAAAAUCCGUACCUUGUGUAUCAGGGAAAACCUAUAUUAAUUUUAAAUAAAAUAAUCCCGAAAAAAAAAGAGUUAGUUUAUAAUAAAAGUUUUCGUUUUAAUGAAAUUUAUAAUUAUAUACUAGUAAUGAAAUGUUAUCCGAUUUUUUAUAUCUGGUUAUUGAUGAAUAAAAUUUAAUUUUAUUUUACUGUGAUAUCUAAAAUUACUUUAAAAUAAAGAAAAGGAGGGAAAAGCUUCUUUUUCUAGUAAUAAGCAAAAAAUGGUUAAUUAAAAUUAAAAAUUGUCGAGCUAGGCUUAAGAGCAGCCACGUUUAUAAAGCGUUCUAGCUAAUGUUGAAAAAAAUAUUAUUUCUAAUGCCCCUUCUUUGGUAAUCAAAAUUAUUGUUUAAUUUAAAAGUAAAAGUUAAAUUGGUUUUAUUAGUAGAAAUUAAUGUUUAAAGUUAUGUUAAAAUACAAAAAGCUUUUUAAAAAUUUAAAAAUAUAAGCAAGGAACUCGGCAAAAAAGUGCUUUUGCCUGUUUAUCAAAAACAUGUCUGUAUGAUUGUUAUAUAGAGUCUAGCCUGCCCGCUGAUAUAAAUUGAAGGGCCGCGGUAUUCUGACCGUGCGAAGGUAGCAUAAUCAUUAGUCUUUUAAUUGAAGGCUUGUAUGAAUGGUUGGACAAAAAGCGAGCUGUCUCCUUUAUAGGACUUGAACUUAACUUUUAAGUGAAAAGGCUUAAAUGAUCUAGGGGGACGAUAAGACCCUAUAAAGCUUUACAACAAAAUAAAAUGUACUAUCACUUGUGUGAGUGUAACUUAGUUCAUAUAAAAGUUGUUUCGUUGGGGCGACGAGAAUAUAAUAAAAUAACUGUUCUUUAAUAAAAUAUACAGUAAUAAUUGUAUUAAAAUUGAUCCUUUAUUAAAGAUUAAAAGAUUAAGUUACUUUAGGGAUAACAGCGUAAUCUUCUUUAAGAGUUCAGAUCGACAAGAAGGGUUGCGACCUCGAUGUUGAAUUAAGGGUUCCUAGUGGUGCAGCAGUCACGAAGGAGGGUCUGUUCGACCUUUAAAUCCUUACAUGAUUUGAGUUCAGACCGGCGUGAGCCAGGUCGGUUUCUAUCUCCUAGCUUUAUAAAAUCACUUUAGUACGAAAGGAUUUGGUGAUUGAAAUAAUUUCAGUUAAAAGAGUUACUUUAAUAACUGUCUUGGCAGAAUUAUGCAUUGGACUUAGGAUCCAAU